CAAGGUGGCUCAUUCACUGGGCUGGCUGUUGGCAGGAGGCCUCACUCAGUCCCUUUCCAUUGUGGGUAUCUCCACAGGGCUGCUUGACAGCCUCACAACAUGGCAGCUGGCUUCCCAGAUCUGUCUUUCCCUGGAUUGCAAUCGAAUGGAGGCCCCAGACCAAUGCACUUUGGAGAACUAUGAAGACUUUGGAUUUUUGCAAUUUUAAGCUUUUCUCCUGCAAAUGCCUCUUCAGUCUUCAGCGCUCAUUCUGGCUUGCUGAUUCUGGACUUCAAAGAGGGAGGUUAUGUUAGCAUCUCGUAGAGCCAGCUGCACUAUCACAGAGUGGAGACUCAUGCCACCCCCUCCCCAAGCCUCUAACCCCAGCCAGACAUAGUGACAGCCGGAGAAAGAAAGGGACCUGCAUGGCCACUGAGGCAACAGGAGGCCAUAACCACCCAAAGCUGGUAUCUUGGCCCCUGAGUGAGCACCGGGAGGCAGCCAUAUGACAAAUGUGCUCAGCACCUUCUGCAGUCAGACCCAGGAGACACGGAGAUAACCUUUGACCUCUGAGUCAUCUUGAGACUGGACUGGUCACCUGGAUCUCAGACCAGCUACCUCCUGCAGGAGGGAAAAGAGGACCCAUUGAGGGGCAGCAAUCAAAGAGGCAAGGCUGGGGCGCCAGGGGAGGACUUCAACUCUCCAUACCCCACCGAUCAGCAGAUCAGCAGCCGGAGAAGAAAGUAAACAAGAUGCCACCGGCAGAUUUCGCUCCAUCUCGCAAACAAUGGCGGGACUGAGCUCCCGGCUCAGACACACACAUCAAAGUGAGAUUUCCAGGCAAGAACUUUAACAGGCAGA